rnacentral:lncRNA from 1 species
AAAAAAGAAGGACCCCAUUGUGCCUGAGGGCUUCGAAAGGGUUGCUGUGCCUGCAAAGGGGGCAUUCAGGGGCCAGAGCACACAAGGCCUCGUUCUAAGGCCUUUACACUCAGAGUGGGAAGCUCUUGAAGGUUUUAAUCAGGGAGUGACAUGGUCUGAUAUCCCUUUCCUGAUGAACUGACCCUGACUUGGGCAGCUGGGGGAAUGGGGUGUUAUUUCCUGACACAGAGAAGACUUGGGAAAAAUAGGGUUGGGGGUGAAAAUAGGGAGUGAAGCCUUCCCCGACAGGUGGUUCUGAUGGGUGGUGACUCUCCCCAUGGGCCUCUCUUCCCCCUCUGCUUACAGGGCCCAUUAUACAAUAUUUUAACUUUGCAAUUCUUAUUUUCUUGUAUGACUCCUUUACUUGACUGACCUCCUUUAGGGCUGAGGCCGCUGUAAGCCAAGGUACGCAACGCUUGCUAAACAGGAAUCCCUGGAAUGAAUCCAUGCAUGAGGCCUUUGUGCCAUGUGACAGUUGAAGGCUGUGGUGACCCCGGAACCGUCCCACUCCGAGACGCCUUAACACCGUUUUUCUGCUGUUACAAACCACAGAGCAACGCGUGUGCCUCCUCCCGCCCUGGGGACUCUUUCUGUGGGAGAGGUGCCUGGAUUUAGAGGAGCGACCACUCUUCAUUUGUAGGUACUCUCCCUAGCCUGGGAGCCCUUCAGCUCCCACUCCAGAGUGGUUGUUGGUGGAUCUUGGUCACUUUCCCAGUUGUCACUCGGCCCACAAACUAGGAUGUGAGCAGCAUAUUAAGAAUCUGCAGAGAUGUUCCCGUCUGCCCGGCAUAUGGAUGUCCUUCUGGGCUGCAAAGUGGCAUCCUGUGGGCAACUCCCCCCACAACAACCAGCUGUGAGCUGUGCCCAGGCACAGAGGGACCUGGCUUUCCCUGUUUCUGCAGAUGGAGCCCAGGGUUUCAGGGAGGGAGGGGGCAGGCUGGGACCUGUUGGGGAUCUGGGCACUUUCUCAUGCUCCUUGAGCUGCAAGUCAUAGAAGGAGUGGGGUGGGAGCUGGGAAUGUACCUUCCCAAGGCCACUGGCAGAACCAGCAGGCCCUUUGCUCUGGGAUGAGCUCCCUCUGAGGGGUGGGGACAGUAAAGCGGACCGAAGUCCCUGUUCUGCGGGAUGGAAACUGGCUCCCCUCCAUUGUACAGGCCAGCUCUGGGGAUUUGGGCAGCAGAUUUGGGGUUGACAGCAGAAUGACAUGAUCACCAGUUGACCUUGGCCAGGAUGCCAGCUUACUUUCUCGCUUACUUCUGCAGGUUCUUUGUUCUGCGGGUGAGUCACCCAGGUCCUGCCCUCCGUGCCUGUCUGCCCUCUCCCACUUUCCCUGCCCUGAGCUUGUUCCCACUUGUAGAUUUGGCAGGUCACUGCCAAGGCCCCUAUUCCCCCAACAUGGCCAGUGCCCUAAGGGUGGGUUGUACAGGGAGGAGCUGGCGUGGUCAGUAGACUUGAAUCAGGGACAACUCGGCUGCUGAAGGCUGAGGGGGCCUUGCAGGGCUGCAGGUGCCUUGUGCACACAGGGAGUGGGUAGAGAAGGCAACCAGGGGCUCCUUCAGGCCUUAAUGCUCUGCAGCCCAGUGAGGCUGUGCCCAGAGAGUCUGGCGAGGCCCUGGUCUGCUCCCCCAGCCAAUGGCCUGAUGCUGUUCCAUCUGGGCACCCUGUCACUUUUCGUUCAUCAGGGAGUACAGGGUGAUUCAGGGUCUCAAAUGCAGGUGUUCACAAAAUGAAAUAGAACUUCCCUCUAUCCCCGUGCUUCUUUUUAUUUUUAUAACAAAUAUACAUCGUUAUAUUUUAUUUUUAUAUUUAUGUAUUUUAUAUAUAUGUGACAUCUACUACAUGACAGAAAAUAUUUAUGGCCAGGCAAGGUGGCUUACACCUGUAAUGCCAGCACUUUGGGAGGCUGAGGCAGGCGGAUCACCUGAGGUCGAGAGUUGGAGACCAGUGUGACCAACAUGGAGAAACCCCAUCUCUACUAAAAAUACAAAAUCAGCUGGGGGUGGUGGCGCAUGCCUGUAAUCCCAGCUACUCGGGAAGCUGAGGCAGGAGAAUCGCUUGAACCGGGGAGGCGGAGGUUGUGGUGAGCCGAGAUUGCACCAUUGCACUCCAGCCUGGCAACAAGGGAUAAACCCCGUCUCAAAAAAAAAAAAAGAAAAAAAAAAAGAAAAAAAUAUUUAUAAUGUAACUAAUAUAGCUAAAAUAAAAUGUAAUUUCAGUCUCAAGCCUUCAUUCUGUUAAGGGGACAGAAACUUAAUCUUGGUCAUCUUGGGGUCUCCCUCCCUGGGGCUGUGCCUGACUUCCAGGGGGCUCGGCGUUGGCAGGAUUUCUGGUGCUUGAGGUCACCUGUCAGCCUGUCUCUUGUCAUUGGCUAUCCGCCGUGCCAUCUGCUCCUGUGUGUCCUUGGCACUGUUCGCAUGUCUCCAGCUCGCUGGCUUUCUCUGCCACCUUGGAGCCACUCCUGGGUGCACAGGAGUCUUACUGCUCCCACGCUGUGCUGGGGCCUGGGAAGACUGCUGUGGCCUACCUGCCUCCGUGUAGCACACACACCCAUUUCUUCUUCUUCUUCUCCUUCUCCUUCUUCAGACAGAGACUCACUCUGUCACCUAGGCUGGACUGCAGUGGUGCCAAAUUGGCUCACUGCAACCUCCGCCUCCCGGGUU